rnacentral:rRNA from 1 species
GACGAACGCUGGCGGCGUGCUUAACACAUGCAAGUCGAACGGAAAGGCCCUGCUUUUGUGGGGUGCUCGAGUGGCGAACGGGUGAGUAACACGUGAGUAACCUGCCCUUGACUUUGGGAUAACUUCAGGAAACUGGGGCUAAUACCGGAUAGGAGCUCCUGCUGCAUGGUGGGGGUUGGAAAGUUUCGGCGGUUGGGGAUGGACUCGCGGCUUAUCAGCUUGUUGGUGGGGUAGUGGCUUACCAAGGCUUUGACGGGUAGCCGGCCUGAGAGGGUGACCGGCCACAUUGGGACUGAGAUACGGCCCGGACUCCUACGGGAGGCAGCAGUGGGGAAUAUUGCACAAUGGGCGGAAGCCUGAUGCAGCAACGCCGCGUGCGGGAUGACGGCCUUCGGGUUGUAAACCGCUUUCGCCUGUGACGAAGCGUGAGUGACGGUAAUGGGUAAAGAAGCACCGGCUAACUACGUG